rnacentral:rRNA from 1 species
AUGCAACCCUGGUGCUGCAAUGGAGCAUCGCCGGCGGCCCGAAGCUGCGAAGCGACCUCGGUGCUGCAUUGGAGCUUCGCCAGUGGCUCUAGAGCUACGACGCUCGGUGUUGUAAUGGAGCAUUGUCUGCGGCUCCUGUGCUACAGUGCAGCACUUGCCAGCGGCGUCGACUCCGACGGUCGCUGCAUCGCAGCUCGGGCAACGUCGUGGCUGCUGCAUUCAAGCUCCGAUGGCGUCGAUGACCGUUGCAUCGCAGCUUCGGCGGCGUCAACUCCGACCGCUGCAUCGCAGCUCUGGCUACGUUGUGGCUGCUGCAUUGAACCUCCGAUGGGCGUCGAGGACUGCUGGAUCGCACCUCCGACGGCGACUCCAACGGUCGUGCGUUGA